AGAGGGGGCAAGCGUUGCUCGGAAUUACUGGGCGUAAAGGGCGCGUAGGCGGGAUGGCAAGUCGGUCGUGAAAUCCCUCGGCUCAACCGAGGAACGUCGAUCGAUACUGCUGGUCUUGAGGAUUGCAGAGGAGACUGGAAUUCCCGGUGUAGCGGUGAAAUGUGUAGAGAUCGGGAGGAACGCCGGUGGCGAAGGCGGGUCUCUGGGCAAUUCCUGACGCUGAGGCGCGAAAGCGUGGGGAGCAAACGGGAUUAGAUACCCCGGUAGUCCACGCUGUAAACGAUGAGCACUAGUGGGUGGGGGGGGUUCAGUCCCUUCCGUGCCGCAGCUAACGCAUUAAGUGCUCCGCCUGGGGAGUACGGCCGCAAGGUUG
rnacentral:rRNA from 1 species